rnacentral:tRNA from 1 species
GCCGAGAUAGUUCAGUGGCAGAACGCUUUCUUGGUAAGAAAGAGGUCCCGGGUUCAAUUCCCGGUCUCGGCU